AUUGAACGCUGGCGGCAGGCUUAACACAUGCAAGUCGAGCGAGCGGCGGACGGGUGAGUAAUGUCUGGGAAACUGCCUGAUGGAGGGGGAUAACUACUGGACACGGUAGCUAAUACCGCAUACCAUCCGAUGUGACCAGAUGGGAUGAGCGAGUAGGUGGGGUAAUGGAUAACCUAGGAGACGAUCCCUAGCUGGUCUGUGAGGAGCACCAUCUACACUGGAACUGCGACCCGCCCCAGCCUUCUAAGUCAGGCACCAGUGGGGAAUAUUGCACAAUGGGCGCAAGCCUGAUUCGUCCAGUCCGCUUGUGUGAAGAAGGCCUUCGGGUUGUAAAGCACGUUCAGCGAGGAGGCGUUACUCGCAGAAGAAGCACCUGCUAACUCCGUGCCAGCAGCCGCGGUAAUAC
rnacentral:rRNA from 1 species